CCUACGGGAGGCAGCAGUGAGGAAUAUUGGUCAAUGGACGAGAGUCUGAACCAGCCAAGUAGCGUGAAGGAUGACUGCCCUAUGGGUUGUAAACUUCUUUUAUAUGGGAAUAAAAUGUUCCACGUGUGGGAUUUUGUAUGUACCAUAUGAAUAAGGAUCGGCUAACUCCGUGCCAGCAGCCGCGGUAAUACGGAGGAUCCGAGCGUUAUCCGGAUUUAUUGGGUUUAAAGGGAGCGUAGGUGGAUUGUUAAGUCAGUUGUGAAAGUUUGCGGCUCAACCGUAAAAUUGCAGUUGAAACUGGCAGUCUUGAGUACAGUAGAGGUGGGCGGAAUUCGUGGUGUAGCGGUGAAAUGCUUAGAUAUCACGAAGAACUCCGAUUGCGAAGGCAGUUCACUGGACUGCAACUGACGCUGAGGCUCGAAAGUGUGGGUAUCAAACAGGAUUAGAUACCCGAGUAGUC
rnacentral:rRNA from 1 species